GGAAUCAUUAAAGAAAUUUAAUAAUUUUGAAAUGGAUUUGUUUGUUUUGGCAAGAGCGUGAGAGCUUUUACUGGGCAAGUAGACAAGAGAUGGAGAGUCCAGCCGGGCCUGCGCUUAAGUGCGCGGUCUUGCUAGGCUUGCAAGUUUCUUUCUUGCUAUUCCAAACAGUGAGAGAUUUCUCUGUUUUUGUUAUAGGACAAUCAAAACCGUUUCAAUACAACACACUGUGGAGUUUUUAUAUCUUUGCAACUUUUUCUUUGGGCUGUCGAGCAAUCGGAGCCCAGAGGUAACAAACACAAACAAUUUUAUUUAUUCAUUAAAUUUUUGUCAAAAACAAGAAUUUUCGUAACUGGAAAUUUUAAAAAUAUUAAAAACUUUCAACAACGGAUCUCUUGGUUCUCGCAUCGAUGAAGAACGCAGCGAAAUGCGAUACGUAAUGUGAAUUGCAGAAUUCCGUGAAUCAUCGAAUCUUUGAACGCACAUUGCGCCCCUUGGUAUUCCAGGGGGCAUGCCUGUUUGAGCGUCAUUUCCUUCUCAAACAUUCUGUUUGGUAGUGAGUGAUACUCUUUGGAGUUAACUUGAAAUUGCUGGCCUUUUCAUUGGAUGUUUUUUUUCCAAAGAGAGGUUUCUCUGCGUGCUUGAGGUAUAAUGCAAGUACGGUCGUUUUAGGUUUUACCAACUGCGGCUAAUCUUUUUUGUACUGAGCGUAUUGGAACGUUAUCGAUAAGAAGAGAGCGUCUAGGCGAACAAUAUUCUUAAAGUUUGACCUCAAAUCAGGUAGGAGUACCCGCUGAACUUAAGCAUAUCAAUAAGCCGGAGGNAAAAGAAACCAACCGGGGAUUGCCUNAGUAACCGGCGAGUGAAGC
rnacentral:rRNA from 1 species